UACGUAGGGUGCGAGCGUUAAUCGGAAUUACUGGGCGUAAAGCGUGCGCAGGCGGCUUUGCAAGACAGAUGUGAAAUCCCCGGGCUCAACCUGGGAACUGCAUUUGUGACUGCAUGGCUAGAGUGCGGCAGAGGGGGAUGGAAUUCCGCGUGUAGCAGUGAAAUGCGUAGAUAUGCGGAGGAACACCGAUGGCGAAGGCAGCCCCCUGGGUCAAGAUUGACGCUCAUGCACGAAAGCGUGGGGAGCAAACAGG
rnacentral:rRNA from 1 species